rnacentral:rRNA from 1 species
AUUGAACGCUGGCGGCAGGCUUAACACAUGCAAGUCGAACGAGUGGCGGACGGGUGAGUAAUGAUUGGGAAUCUGGCUUAUGGAGGGGGAUAACGACGGGAAACUGUCGCUAAUACCGCGUACCAUAGGAUGAGCCCAAGUGGGAUAGGGUAGUUGGUGGGGUAAUGGCCUACCAAGCCGACGAUCUCUAGCUGGUCUGAGAGGAGGACCGGCAACACCGGGACUGGGAGAGGGCCCGAACUCCUAGGGCAGGCAGGAGGGGGGAAUUUUGAGAAAGGGGGGAAACCCUGACGCAGCCAUGCCGGGUGAAUGAAGAAGUCCUUGGGGUUGUAAGGUUCUUUCGGUAUUGAGGGGUUAAAGACAGAAGAAGCCCCGGCUAACUCCGUGCAAGCAGCCGCGGUAAUU